CCACCCCGGAACCACCCACUCCGGGGUGGGUACGAAGCACCCCCGGAAACUGUGUAGACUUACCGACGUUGCCGAUC
rnacentral:tRNA from 1 species